rnacentral:rRNA from 1 species
UACGUAGGGUCCGAGCGUUGUUCGGAAUUACUGGGCGUAAAGGGCGCGUAGGCGGCCUUCUAAGUCGAACGUGAAAUCCCUGGGCUCAACCCAGGAACUGCGUCCGAUACUGGAAGGCUUGAAUCCGGGAGAGGGAUGCGGAAUUCCAGGUGUAGCGGUGAAAUGCGUAGAUAUCUGGAGGAACACCGGUGGCGAAGGCGGCAUCCUGGACCGGUAUUGACGCUGAGGCGCGAAAGCCAGGGGAGCAAACGGG